rnacentral:rRNA from 1 species
UACGUAGGGGGCGAGCGUUGUCCGGAAUUAUUGGGCGUAAAGAGCUCGUAGGCGGCUUGGCAAGUCGGAUGUGAAAACUCCAGGCUCAACCUGGAGCCGCCAUUCGAUACUGCUAUGGCUAGAGUCCGGUAGGGGAGUGUGGAAUUCCCGGUGUAGCGGUGAAAUGCGCAGAUAUCGGGAGGAACACCGAUGGCGAAGGCAGCACUCUGGGCCGGCACUGACGCUGGAGGAGCGAAAGCGUGGGGAGCGAAC